CCUACGGGAGGCAGCAGUGGGGAAUAUUGCACAAUGGGGGAAACCCUGAUGCAGCGACGCCGCGUGAGUGAAGAAGUAUUUCGGUAUGUAAAGCUCUAUCAGCAGGGAAGAAAAUGCCGGUACCUGCCUACGAAGCGCCUGCUAACUACGUGCCAGCAGCCGCGGUAAUUCGUAGGGGGCAAGCGGUUUCCGGAUUUACUGGGGGUAAAGGGAGCGUAGACGGCCAGACAAGUCAGAAGGGAAAGCCCAGGGCUCAACCCCGUGACUGCUGUUGAAACUGCCGGGCUGGAGUGCAGGAGAGGUAAGCGGAAUGCCUAGUGUAGCGGUGAAAUGCGUAGAUAUUAGGAGGAACACCAGUGGCGAAGGCGGCUUACUGGACUGUAACUGACGUUGAGGCUCGAAAGCGUGGGGAGCAAACAGGAUUAGAUACCCGUGUAGUC
rnacentral:rRNA from 1 species